AAGGAAGACAAGUACAGAGGCGGCAGGUAUUAUAUUAGUAUCUCUGGACUUUAUUUUCUAUUGUGCUUUAUUUUUAUUUUUAUUUUUUUUGAAAAUGUGUGUUUUUCAGGGAUUGUGGAGUUUUUACUUUUUAAUGUUUUCAUAGAAUUUCAAGGAGAGGAUUCUACAGUCAUAAUGAGGAGAAGAGAGAGACACAAAGAGAGCAUGGGACACUUCAUCACAGAGUGCACCAAGGCUGAAGACACUUAAGACCUCACAUUCAUUGAAAGUGACAAGAUUUGGUUUCCCUGAGGAAUGAGCUGGGACAGUCUCUCUUCAGCCCUCACAAAUCCUGUGUCUUCUCCACAGGAAUGGCAUCAGAACAUGCUAUAUAUCUCUCCAAAUACUGAAGACAUAUACAGAAAAUAAACUAAAAAGUCAUGGUAUA
rnacentral:lncRNA from 1 species